rnacentral:rRNA from 1 species
GACGAACGCUGGCGGCGUGCUUAACACAUGCCAGUCGAACGGAAAGGCCCUGCUUUUGUGGGGUGCUCGAGUGGCGAACGGGUGAGUAACACGUGAGUAACCUGCCCUUGACUUUGGGAUAACUUCAGGAAACUGGGGCUAAUACCGGAUAGGAGCUCCUGCUGCAUGGUGGGGGUUGGAAAGGUUCGGCGGUUGGGGAUGGACUCGCGGCUUAUCAGCUUGUUGGUGGGGUAGUGGCUUACCAAGGCUUUGACGGGUAGCCGGCCUGAGAGGGUGACCGGCCACAUUGGGACUGAGAUACGGCCCAGACUCCUACGGGAGGCAGCAGUGGGGAAUAUUGCACAAUGGGCGGAAGCCUGAUGCAGCAACGCCGCGUGCGGGAUGACGGCCUUCGGGUUGUAAACCGCUUUCGCCUGUGACGAAGCGUGAGUGACGGUAAUGGGUAAAGAAGCACCGGCUAACUACGUG